rnacentral:rRNA from 1 species
UACGGAGGGGGCGAGCGUUAUUCGGAAUUAUUGGGCGUAAAGGGCGCGUAGGCGGCCCGGUAAGUCAAAGGUGAAAUCCCUCGGCUCAACUGAGGAACUGCCUUUGAAACUGUCGGGCUUGAGGCCGGGAGGGGGUAGCGGAAUUCCCAGUGUAGCGGUGAAAUGCGUAGAUAUCGGAAGGAACGCCGGUGGCGAAAGCGGCGUGCUGGACCUCUUCUGACGCUGAGGCGCGAAAGCCAGGGGAGCGAACGGG